rnacentral:rRNA from 1 species
UACGGAGGAUGCGAGCGUUAUCCGGAUUUAUUGUGUUUAAAGGGUGCGCAGGCGGAUUUUUAAGUCAGCGGUCAAAUCGUGGGGCUCAACCCCAUCCAGCCGUUGAAACUGGGGAUCUAGAGUGUGCGAGAGGUAUGCGGAAUGCGUGGUGUAGCGGUGUAAUGCAUAGAUAUCACGCAGAACCCCGAUUGCGAAGGCAGCAUACCGGUGCACAACUGACGCUCAGGCACGAAAGCGUGGGUACCGAACAGG